rnacentral:rRNA from 1 species
AUUAAACGCUGGCGGCAUGCCUUACACAUGCAAGUCGAACGGCAGCACGGGGGCAACCCUGGUGGCGAGUGGCGGACGGGUGAGUAAAGCAUCGGAACGUAUCCUGGAGUGGGGGAUAACGUAGCGAAAGUUACGCUAAUACCGCAUAUUCUGUGAGCAGGAAAGCAGGGGAUCGCAAGACCUUGCGCUCUGGGAGCGGCCGAUGUCGGAUUAGCUAGUUGGUGGGGUAAAGGCCUACCAAGGCGACGAUCCGUAGCGGGUCUGAGAGGAUGAUCCGCCACACUGGGACUGAGACACGGCCCAGACUCCUACGGGAGGCAGCAGUGGGGAAUUUUGGGACAAUGGGGGCAACCCUGAUCCAGCCAUGCCGCGUGAGUGAAGAAGGCC